AAUUCACUUAUUCACACUUGAAUGGACCUAUAAAUAGGAGUGCUAGCUGGAGGACAAUGGCCUCAUCAACACGUACAAUCUAAUCUGCAAUCACCAAAAUGAAGACUAUCUCGCUCAUUUGCUGCAUUCUCCUGGCUUUCCUUCUUUUCUCGUCCCCUUCAAUUAUGGCUCGUGACUUGGCUGCUCAUGAUCAUGAGGCCGAUGGUACUACUGCUGACAGAAGCAAGAAUAUUAAUAAUCCCAACGUACCAGGAAAAUCGUGCGGAUCAAUCCCCAGCGACACUCCCAAAUAUGCUGCUUGCAUAGAUAGACAGAAGAAGACCAAGCCCUGUACUCCAAAAAGCAAAUAUUAUCACCGUUGCAUUAAUUCACCGGCUCAAGGCUAGGAACUUGAAUAAGCAGAGCUUUUAAUGGUGUAAUGAAAUUAGUAUAUGAUUAAAAUAGUAAAAGUUAUAAGUACUACUGGCAUUAAUAACGAUCGAUGUUUAAUUCUCGUGAUCAUGAUGAUGAUCGAUGAUCAUGAGAAGAACAUAUGUACGUACAAGUUUGAGAAUAAAUAGGUUUAGUUCGAUCGAUACCGUAUCAUCAUGUAAUGCAUGGAUCCGCUCGAUCGAACUUCCUUUGCAGUGUGUCAAUAAAAUUAAGAAUGUCUGACCGACUUAGUUUUGGUCAGCUAGCUUGUUUAAUUUCUUAUGACUAUUAUAUAUAGCUAGUAUUUUCUUCUUCUUCUU